rnacentral:rRNA from 1 species
UGGGGAAUAUUGGACAAUGGGCGCAAGCCUGAUCCAGCCAUGCCGCGUGGGUGAUGAAGGCCCUAGGGUUGUAAAGCCCUUUCGGCGGGGAAGAUAAUGACGGUACCCGCAGAAGAAGCCCCGGCUAACUUCGUGCCAGCAGCCGCGGUAAUACGAAGGGGGCUAGCGUUGCUCGGAAUCACUGGGCGUAAAGCGCACGUAGGCGGAUUGUUAAGUCAGGGUGAAAUCCUGGAGCUCAACUCCAGAACUGCCUUUGAUACUGGCGAUCUCGAGUCCGGGAGAGGUGAGUGGAACUGCGAGUGUAGAGGUGAAAUUCGUAGAUAUUCGCAAGAACACCAGUGGCGAAGGCGGCUCACUGGCCCGGUACUGACGCUGAGGUGCGAAAGCGUGGGGAGCAAACAGGAUUAGAUACC